rnacentral:tRNA from 1 species
GGGCCACUAGUAUAACGGUAUUAUGGACAUCUUCUUCGUCUGAAAGAUCAGGGUUCGAAUCCCUGGUGGCCCA